rnacentral:rRNA from 1 species
UACGGAGGGGGCGAGCGUUAUUCGGAAUUAUUGGGCGUAAAGGGCGCGUAGGCGGCUUCGCAAGUCAAAGGUGAAAUCCCUCGGCUCAACCGAGGAAUUGCCUCUGAAACUGCGUGGCUUGAGGCCGGGAGGGGGCGGUGGAAUUCCCAGUGUAGCGGUGAAAUGCGUAGAGAUUGGGAGGAACACCAGUGGCGAAGGCGGCCGCCUGGACCGGUUCUGACGCUGAUGCGCGAAAGCGUGGGUAGCAAACAGGAUUAGAUACCCCAGUAGUCC